AUCCAUUUGACGAGUUCUAAAUUGGAUGAAACGCGUGUCAAGGAU
rfam:Schistosoma curassoni strain Dakar, Senegal genome assembly, scaffold: SCTD_scaffold0014775